rnacentral:rRNA from 1 species
AACGCGCAGAACCUUACCUGGGCUUGACAUCCCGAUCGCACCUUUUGGAAACUUAAGGGUCAGUUCGGCUGGAUCGGUGACAGGUGCUGCAUGGCUGUCGUCAGCUCGUGUCGUGAGAUGUUGGGUUAAGUCCCGCAACGAGCGCAACCCUCGUCCUUAGUUGCCAGCAUUAAGUUGGGCACUCUAAGGAGACUGCCGGUGUUAAAACCCGGAGGAAGGCGGGGAUGACGUCAAGUCCUCAUGGCCCUUAUGUCCAGGGCUACACACGUGCUACAAUGGCCGGUACAAAGGGUAGCAAGACCGCGAGGUGGAGCCAACCCCAAAAAGCCGGUCUCAGUUCGGAUUGGAGUCUGCAACUCGACUCCAUGAAGUUGGAAUCGCUAGUAAUCGUGGAUCAGCAUGCCACGGUGAAUACGUUCCCGGGCCUU